UCUGUUUUGCCAUUUGAAGGAUGCCUCUACUAAAAAAGAAGUCACAUAGACUACUGGAGCCACCAAAUAACUUGGAGCCUCAAGAACUUGUUUAUCAAGUUCGUCUCACAAAGGAGAUUUUUAGAGAUUAUCAAUUGUACUUGAAGAGGAUUAAUCUGUACCGCAAGCGAGUUUGGACAUGCAAAUCUACUGGUAAGACUACCUUGACCUACGAGGAGGCCUUAGACUCAGAAAAACUGG